UCCCUUGCCCCGCAGCAGUAUCGUAGCCAAUGAGGUUAAUCCGAGGCGCGAUUAUUGCUAAUUGAAAACUUUUCCCAAUACCCCGCCAUGACGACUUGAAAUAUAGUCGGCAUUGGCAAUUUUUGAGAGCCUCUCCGGAGG
rnacentral:snRNA from 1 species